rnacentral:lncRNA from 1 species
GGGAUUUGUAGUAGUAUGGUGGAGGUGGAGAGUGGACUGGUGGUGGUGGGGAUUUGUAGUAGUAUGGUGGGGGUGGAGAGUGGACUGGUGGUGGUGGGGACUUGUAAUAGUAUGGUGGAGGUGGUGAGGGAGAAGGUGGUGGUGGAGACUUGUAGUAGUAUGGUGGUGGGGACUUGUAAUAGUAUGGUGGAGGAGAUGGCGAUGGUGGUGGAGGAGAUUUGUAGAUGUAUGGGGGCUCCUCUACGUGUUUUGGUGGUGGUGGGGACUUGUAAUAGUAUGGUGGAGGUGGUGAGGGAGAAGGUGGUGGUGGAGACUUGUAGUAGUAUGGUGGUGGUGGGGAAUGAACUGGUGGUGGUGGGGACUUGUAAUAGUAUGGUGGUGGAGGAGAUGGCGAUGGUGGUGGAGGAGAUUUGUAGAUGUAUGGGGGCUUCUCUACGUGUUUUGGUGGUGGUGGAGACUUGUAAUAGUAUGGUGGAGGUGGUGAGGGAGAAGGUGGUGGUGGAGACUUGUAGUAGUAUGGUGGGGGUGGGGAGUGGACUGGUGGUGGUGGAGACUUGUAGUAGUAUGGUG